UGGGGAAUCUUGCACAAUGGGGGCACCCUGAUGCAGCGACGCCGCGUGAGCGAUGAAGCCCUUCGGGGCGUAAAGCUCUUUCGACCGGAACGAUAAUGACGGUACCGGGAGAAGAAGCUGCGGCUAACUACGUGCCAGCAGCCUCGGUAAUACGUAGGCAGCAAGCGUUGUUCGGAGUUACUGGGCGUAAAGAGUGCGUAGGCGGUUUUCUAAGUUCGGUGUGAAAUCUCCCGGCUUAACUGGGAGGGUGCGCCGAAGACUGGGAAGCUGGAGUGUGGGAAAGGCAGGCGGAAUUCCUGGUGUAGCGGUGAAAUGCGUAGAUAUCAGGAGGAACACCGGCGGUGUAGACGGCUUGCUAGACCAUAACUGACGCUGAGGCACGAAAGCGUGGGUAGCAAACA
rnacentral:rRNA from 1 species